GCAGACCGGUGUGCCUGUCGUGGCCCUGAGGGACAGGAUGAAGGUGUUCCGAACCCCGGAGAGCAGGUGGAUGGGUGCGACGGAUAGUUGCUGCUGCAACUGCUGUCUACAGUGCCCCUCAAACUCCGGUGGUGCGCAGUGAUUGUACAAACUGUACAAGGAACAAACUAUGAAACACAACAAAAUAAAAAAAGCAACUCUCCUUUAAAUCCAUAGAAUAUAUUUGAUGAUCCUGACAUUUUCACUCAACUUGGAUGAAAACAGAGCAGUGAAUGUUUUACUUAUAAAUAAAUAAAAUUUUACUUCCUCUGGAAGAAGAUAUUUAAGAGAUUCCCCCCAACCAGUUUUCCCACUUGGAGAAAGUUGGAUCUCUCAGAGCAGUUCUGUUUUCAUGGGACAAAACACUGUUCACGUGAUUCUCCAUCUUGAUCAAGCGCUAGCUCUUCACCUCUUUUCCGGAAACACAUCACCUCAAGAAUCUGU